UACAGAGGUCUCAAGCGUUGUUCGGAUUCAUUGGGCGUAAAGCGUGCGCAGGCGGCGCGUUUAAGACAGGUGUGAAAGCCCCGAGCUUAACUUGGGAAUUGCGCUUGUGACUGGCGUGCUGGAGUGUGGCAGAGGGAGGUGGAAUUCCACGUGUAGCAGUGAAAUGCGUAGAGAUGUGGAGGAACACCGAUGGCGAAGGCAGCCUCCUGGGCCAGCACUGACGCUCAUGCACGAAAGCGUGGGGAGCAAACAGG
rnacentral:rRNA from 1 species